GAGGGAAAGGCGAAAAGAACCCCGGCGAGGGGAGUGAAAAAGAACCUGAAACCGUGUACGUACAAGCAGUGGGAGCCUCUUAAUGGGGUGACUGCGUACCUUUUGUAUAAUGGGUCAGCGACUUAUAUUCUGUAGCAAGGUUAACCGAAUAGGGGAGCCGAAGGGAAACCGAGUCUUAACUGGGCGUUAAGUUGCAGGGUAUAGACCCGAAACCCGGUGAUCUAGCCAUGGGCAGGUUGAAGGUUGGGUAACACUAACUGGAGGACCGAACCGACUAAUGUUGAAAAAUUAGCGGAUGACUUGUGGCUGGGGGUGAAAGGCCAAUCAAACCGGGAGAUAGCUGGUUCUCCCCGAAAGCUAUUUAGGUAGCGCCUCGUGAAUUCAUCUCCGGGGGUAGAGCACUGUUUCGGCAAGGGGGUCAUCCCGACUUACCAACCCGAUGCAAACUGCGAAUACCGGAGAAUGUUAUCACGGGAGACACACGGCGGGUGCUAACGUCCGUCGUGAAGAGGGAAACAACCCAGACCGCCAGCUAAGGUCCCAAAGUCAUGGUUAAGUGGGAAACGAUGUGGGAAGGCCCAGACAGCCAGGAUGUUGGCUUAGAAGCAGCCAUCAUUUAAAGAAAGCGUAAUAGCUCACUGGUCGAGUCGGCCUGCGCGGAAGAUGUAACGGGGCUAAACCAUGCACCGAAGCUGCGGCAGCGACACUAUGUGUUGUUGGGUAGGGGAGCGUUCUGUAAGCCUGUGAAGGUGGCCUGUGAGGGUUGCUGGAGGUAUCAGAAGUGCGAAUGCUGACAUAAGUAACGAUAAAGCGGGUGAAAAGCCCGCUCGCCGGAAGACCAAGGGUUCCUGUCCAACGUUAAUCGGGGCAGGGUGAGUCGACCCCUAAGGCGAGGCCGAAAGGCGUAGUCGAUGGGAAACAGGUUAAUAUUCCUGUACUUGGUGUUACUGCGAAGGGGGGACGGAGAAGGCUAUGUUGGCCGGGCGACGGUUGUCCCGGUUUAAGCGUGUAGGCUGGUUUUCCAGGCAAAUCCGGAAAAUCAAGGCUGAGGCGUGAUGACGAGGCACUACGGUGCUGAAGCGACAAAUGCCCUGCUUCCAGGAAAAGCCUCUAAGCAUCAGGUAACAUCAAAUCGUACCCCAAACCGACACAGGUGGUCAGGUAGAGAAUACCAAGGCGCUUGAGAGAACUCGGGUGAAGGAACUAGGCAAAAUGGUGCCGUAACUUCGGGAGAAGGCACGCUGAUAUGUAGGUGAAGCGACUUGCUCGUGGAGCUGAAAUCAGUCGAAGAUACCAGCUGGCUGCAACUGUUUAUUAAAAACACAGCACUGUGCAAACACGAAAGUGGACGUAUACGGUGUGACGCCUGCCCGGUGCCGGAAGGUUAAUUGAUGGGGUUAGCGGUAACGCGAAGCUCUUGAUCGAAGCCCCGGUAAACGGCGGCCGUAACUAUAACGGUCCUAAGGUAGCGAAAUUCCUUGUCGGGUAAGUUCCGACCUGCACGAAUGGCGUAAUGAUGGCCAGGCUGUCUCCACCCGAGACUCAGUGAAAUUGAACUCGCUGUGAAGAUGCAGUGUACCCGCGGCAAGACGGAAAGACCCCGUGAACCUUUACUAUAGCUUGACACUGAACAUUGAGCCUUGAUGUGUAGGAUAGGUGGGAGGCUUUGAAGUGUGGACGCCAGUCUGCAUGGAGCCGACCUUGAAAUACCACCCUUUAAUGUUUGAUGUUCUAACGUGGGCCCCUUACCGGGGUUGCGGACAGUGUCUGGUGGGUAGUUUGACUGGGGCGGUCUCCUCCUAAAGAGUAACGGAGGAGCACGAAGGUUGGCUAAUCCUGGUCGGACAUCAGGAGGUUAGUGCAAUGGCAUAAGCCAGCUUGACUGCGAGCGUGACGGCGCGAGCAGGUGCGAAAGCAGGUCAUAGUGAUCCGGUGGUUCUGAAUGGAAGGGCCAUCGCUCAACGGAUAAAAGGUACUCCGGGGAUAACAGGCUGAUACCGCCCAAGAGUUCAUAUCGACGGCGGUGUUUGGCACCUCGAUGUCGGCUCAUCACAUCCUGGGGCUGAAGUAGGUCCCAAGGGUAUGGCUGUUCGCCAUUUAAAGUGGUACGCGAGCUGGGUUUAGAACGUCGUGAGACAGUUCGGUCCCUAUCUGCCGUGGGCGCUGGAGAACUGAGGGGGGCUGCUCCUAGUACGAGAGGACCGGAGUGGACGCAUCACUGGUGUUCGGGUUGUCAUGCCAAUGGCACUGCCCGGUAGCUAAAUGCGGAAGAGAUAAGUGCUGAAAGCAUCUAAGCACGAAACUUGCCCCGAGAUGAGUUCUCCCUGACUCCUUGAGAGUCCUGAAGGAACGUUGAAGACGACGACGUUGAUAGGCCGGGUGUGUAAGCGCAGCGAUGCGUUGAGCUAACCGGUACUAAUGAACCGUGAGGCUUAACCUUACAACGCCGAAG
rnacentral:rRNA from 1 species